AGGACGAACGCUGGCGGCGUGCUUAACACAUGCAAGUCGAGCGGUAAGGCCUUUCGGGGUACACGAGCGGCGAACGGGUGAGUAACACGUGGGUGAUCUGCCCUGCACUUCGGGAUAAGCCUGGGAAACUGGGUCUAAUACCGGAUAUGACCUCCUAUCGCAUGGUGGGUAGGUGGAAAGCUUAUCGGUGCAGGAUGGGCCCGCGGCCUAGUCAGGCUUGUUGGUGGGUAAUGGCCUACAAGCGACGACGGGUAGCCGACCUGAGAGGGUGACCGGCCACACGUGGGACUGAGACACGGCCCAGACUCCUACGGGAGGCAGCAGUGGGAAUAGUUGCACAGUGGGACGAAAGCCGUAGAUGCAGCGACGCCGCGUGGAGG
rnacentral:rRNA from 1 species